AUCCCCCCUUCGUUCUAUUUUCUAACCUAAGAUUCUUCUAUUUCUCCCAAUCUGUUUCACAACAAAAAAAACUGAAAUUAGCGAUAAACGUCGUCGCUAAUCUGUCGCUAAAACGCUCGUAGCUAGUAGAAUUUCUUGAUAAUCCAUCGCUAAUCCGUCGCUAAAUGAGAUUAGCGAGGAAUUUUUCUAUUUAGCUACAGAAUUUGUCUGUCGCUAAAACCUGAUUUUUAGUAGUGUUUCUCCAGCUAGAAGAAUCGAGAUUCAAAUCCGAAAAAGUACAUGAAAUUCGUUUAGCAGCUUCAAUAAUCUUCAGGUAGCCGAGGGAUCAAAAACUACUGGUGAAGCUAUUGGGAUCGACGUCAACAGUUAGACAUUUGGUAGGUAUAAUUCGUUUCAGUUUAAUUUUUUCUUUUCUUUUGAGCAGAUUUAUUUUUUUAAAGGUAAAUUGAUUAUUUCUUAGUGUUGAGUGACCUCUUAUUGGUGUAAAUUAGUUUAAGAAAGCUUAAUUAAAGUGCACUAGAAUGAUGAGGACAUGAAAUAAGUUUUUGGUAGACUUAUGUUUUAGUAAGUUUUUGAGUAGGAGUGAAGUUAAGUCAUGUAUGAUUGGACAUUUUAUUUUUUAUAGUAAGUUCGCAAAGCAUCUAAAGUAGUAAGCUAACACUUUGACAUGUAUAAACAAAACUUUUGAGAGAAGAACUUAGUUCAGAUUAAGUGCAAAUAUUCACUAAUUAUUGCAGGCUUCUACAUGUCGAGCUUCUGAUAGUUAUGUCCUAAUUAUAAUGGAAGAAGUAAAAAUUUUCUAUCUGCACUUUUAUAUCAUUUAGAGGCUUCUCAUUAGGUAAUUUCUUUAACUUGUUAAUCAAAUCAAGAUCAGAUGUUAAGUUUCAGCCUUAAAAGGUUUCUCAUAGGUUCCAUCUAAGAAUUAUAGCCUACUUUAUCAACAUAUUUGCACUAUUUACUGCAGUAUCUUAGUUCUCAAUUAGAAAUAAAAUACUAUUUGUCUUGAUUCACUGCUUGCUGCUAGUACCAGUAAGCAUUGGUGCUCUCAUAUAGGAAAUUGAUACUAAGAAUUAUUUGAAAAGACUAUACAAUAUUGAUAUGAAACAAAAGGUCAAAGCUGAACAUACUAGCUGGAGUAAAGAGUGCAGCCUGAGUGUCUAGAACUUCUAUUUUUCUUCACAUGAUGAAAUAAAAAGAAAGAAAAUAAUAACUUUCAUGCGAAUGUUCCCUUGAUCUUUAUACUGGCUUCAUCUUGCACUUAGGGCAUUAUCUUAAUUUGCAGACCAAAUCUGAAAAUAGUCUGGUGAUGGAGCUUAUUUUUUACUCUUAGGGCAUUAUUUUUUACUCUUAUUCACACACAAAAACUAUUUUUUGUUAUCUUAUGAGAUGAUGUUAUUUCACAGGUUAUGUUUUUCACAUAUAAGCUUUUUAACUAACUUUUCAUUUUGAUAUUGUGAUGUUAUCUUAUGUCUUCCUUUCUACACAUGCCAAUUGAUAAAUCUUGGAUUAGCAAACCACGAAACACACCUGAAUAUGCAGAUGGUGUAAGACAAUUCUUGGAUUUUGCUUUUGAGCACGGGUCAAUUGAUGGGCUCGUAAUUAAGUGCCCUUGUCCAAAAUGUGGUUUUAACAAGUGACAAAGAAGCGAUGUAGUUGAAGAGCACCUGAUUCUCAAACCUUUUUAAAAAACUACAAAUUUUGGUAUUGGCAUGGUGAAGAAUCAAAUGCAACCGUGCAAUCAGAGCACCCAUGUCAUAGAAGAUACUUUACAACCCCAAGAUCCAAUGGAAAUUAUGAUUAAUGAUGUGUUUGGGUUCACCAAGAACAAUGUCAACGAGCUUGGUAUUUCUUCUAAUCAUAUAAAUAGAGAAGAAAAUUAAGGUGCAUAAUGAAGAUUAUACAAAGUUCUAUGAAUUUGUCGAAGAUGUCAAUCAACUAUUAUACGAAGGGUGUACGAAGUAUUCCAAAUUGUCCUUUCUAAUCAAAUUGUAUCAUAUAAAGUUUUUUUAUCGAAUGGCUAACAAAGUGAUGAGUAUGAUAUUAGAAUUGUUAAAAGAUGUCUUUGAAGAUGCCAAGAUUCCUAGUUCUUUUUAUGAGGCCAGGAAAACCAUCAACAAACUUGGUCUUAAUUAUACCAAGAUACAUGCCCGCUCAAAUGAUUGUAUGUUAUAUUUUGGCGAAGAUGAAGAAUUGCAAGAAUUCAAAAGAUGCAAGACAUCUAGGUGGAAGGAUAAUAAGAAGAAGCAGCCUGCAAAGAUAUUGCGUUACUUUUCACUAAAGCUAAGGUUGCAAAGAUUGUUCAUGUGUUAUAAAACUGUCGAGUCUAUGAGAUGGCAUUCUUUAGAGGGUUGCCAAGAUGGAUUGAUGAGGCAUCACAGGGAUUCUCAGGCUUGGAAAACUUUUGACUUGUGUCAUCCUGAAUUUGUUGCAGAUCCUCGAAAUAUAUGGCUAAGCCUAGCUAGUGACGGUUUCAAUCCUUUUGGAGACUAACAAUAGUAUCUGGCCAGCGGUACUUAUUCCAUACAUUUGUCCUCCUUGGGAGUGCAUGAAGCAAACUUCAUGCAUACUCUCAAUGAUCAUUCCAAGAAAAUAAAUGUCAGGCAAUGACAUAAAAGUGUAUUUAUAACCUCUCAUCUAAGAGUUGAGGGAAUUAUGGUACGACGGAGUGCAGAUAUUAGAUUCUUCAAAGAAUGAAAUAUUUAAAAUGUGUGCAUCAUUGAUGUGGACAAUUAGUGAUUUUUCUGGACUUGGUACCUUAUCUGGAUGGAACACAUACACUCAAUUUGCUUUCCCCACGUGUAACUUUGAUACAGACUCUUACAGAUUGAAGCAUAGUAGAAAAUGGUGUUUUAUGGGUCAUCGUCAUUUUUCUUGAAAGCGGCCAUCGGUUUAGAUUGCAAUGUGUUUGUUUUAAUAGGAAAAUCGAGCACGGGAGCCACCAAUUGCAUUAUCAGGGUCAGACAUCUUGAAACAAGUGGAGGGCAUUAAUGUCAAUUUUGGAAAAGUACCUGAUUUGAAUGAUAAAGGUAACUCGAAGACAAACUGUUAAUGAAGAUAGAUCGAGGCAGUGGAGAAAGAGGAGCAUAUUUUUUUUAUCUUCCUUACUGGGAAACGGACUUGUUACGUCAUAAUCUAGACCUUAUGCACAUUAAGAAGAAUGUGUGUGAGAAUGUGAUAUACACUUUACUCAAUGAUUCUAAAAAAUUAAAAGACAAUAUUAAAACUAGGAAGGAUCUUAGAGAAAUGGGUGUAAGGAAGGAACUUUGGGCAGAUGAGAAUGGAAGCUAUCGUCCAUAUUUGUUUACUAUUUUAAAUACAAAUAAAGGUGGAUUGAAGAAAGAUAUAUUUUUGCAGACCUUAAAGAAUGUCAAAAUGCUUGAUGGAUAUGCGAGCAACAUUUCGAGAUGUAUCGACUUGAAACAACGGAAGCACGUUAAUAUGAAGAGUCAUGAUUUUCACAUUCUUAUGCAGCACUUGUUAUCAAUUGCCAUACAAAAUAUUUUACCUCACAAAGUGACUACAGUGUUAAUAGAGUUGAGUUCGUUCUUUCGACAACUCUGUGCCAAAAGGCUUAAGUCCAGUAGACUUUGAUAGGCUCCAAUCUCGACAGUUUCUCACUAUGAAUCACUUGAAAAUGUUAUUUUCUCUAGCGUUCUUUACCGUCAUGGUUCAUUUAACUUGUCAUCUAGCUGGUGAAGAAGAACUUGGGGGACCGCAAUAGUGUCGAUGGAUUUAUCCUGUGGAGAGGUAUUUGGGACAUUUUAAGUCCUAUGUGCGGAACAUGUCACAACCAGAAGGUUCCAUAGCUGAAGGAUACCUAGCUGAAGGGGCUCUUACUUUCUGUUCUCAGUAUUUUGAAGGGAUUGAGACAAGGAUUAAUAGGCCCCAUCGUGUUGAUGAUUAUCCGGAUGAUAGAGGAUCGACAAAUUCAUCUAGCAUUUUUCCACCAAUUGUUAAAGGAGUAGCAUCAGAAACAUUUGAGUUGUCACCUAUGGUGAAACGUCAAGCACAUCGAUAUGUGGUUCUAAAUUGUCCACAAGUCAUGUUGUUCAUUGAUUAAUUUAAAGAUCAUGUACGAAGGCGUUGGAAGGGUCGAAAGCCUACCAGUACGGAGAUUGAGAAGAUAGUUAAUAAAGACUUCAUUGAUUGGUUUCCCAGAAAGAUUGUGAACCCAGAUAUUUCGAAUAUUGUAUCAGAUGACCUAAAAUUUUUUAGCAGAUGGUCCAGCACCACAUGCUAGAAGGUUUACAUAAUUUAAUAUCAACGGGUUCAAAUUUCGGACUUUAGGGUGAGAGAAUGGAUUGAAAACUCAAAACAGUGGAGUAUUAUUUACUUCGUCCACAUCUUGUAUUGCUAGUGGUGCUGAUAGAAAUUUGAGGCAAGUGGAUUUGCCAUAUUAUGGCAAAUUAGAAGACAUCAUUGAACUUAACUACUAUGGUUGAUUUCGGGUUACACUAUUCAAGUGUAAAUUGGCUAACACAACUAGGGAUAGGGAGUUCAGAACGGAUGCAUGGGGAUUUUCUUCCGUUAAUGUUUCACGAUUGAUUCAUACUGGUGAUCGUGAAGAGCAUGAUCCAUACAUUGAAGCUUCACAAGCUCAAAUGGUAUAUUAUGUGGACAAUGUGGUGAAUAAAGGUUGGAGUACUGUUGUUCACUUGAAACAAAGAGACUUAUAUGAUAUGGGAGGAGAAUGAGAUAAAGAAUUUUCUGAGAAUGAGUCAUUCCUACUGCAAUACUUAGAUCAACACUUUGGGGAUGUUAAUGAUCUGCUUUUGUGUAGGGAGGAUGAAACUAAUUAAAUAUUAAGUGAUCGCGAUAUUGAAAAUGAGAUUGGCGAAAAUGAACAUAUUUGAAGAGUCAUUGCUAGCCAUUUUCAUAUUUUAGAAGGAAGCAUCUUGAUAUAUUUUCAUUUCAAAUUAGUUUAGAUUAUAGCUAUGUCCUUUUAUAUUCUUGACUUGCUUUAUGUUCUUGCAUCUAGUUACUUUCUUUCAUUAAUUAAGCUUAAGUUAUUUUUGUGCUGAAGUUUAAACUGGUUUGGUAUCAAGGUUUUCUUCUUUUGCUUUAUAUACUUUUAUGUAUGUAGAGAUGUCGAAGCAAAAUAGGGUUAAAAAUCAAUUCGAAUCAGUCAAAGAGAGAUCUUCACUUGUUCCGGGGUAGUCAUCACAGGCUCAAGCUUCAUCUUCAACAUCUUAUCGAGUCUCUUUACAUCCUACACUGCCUACACAACCUACACGUCCUGUUAUUUCAGUUGAUGGAGUAUCUUCGCAGCACGUUGUUCCAUCUUCAUCAUAUGAUGGAGUCUCUUCGCAGCAUGUUGUUCCAUCUUCAUCAUCUGAUGGAGUAUCUUCUCAGCCUGCCAUUCCAUAUUCAUCAUCUGAUGUAAUCUCUUCACGACGAAUUAGACGUACUACUACUGAUGAAGAGCCUCAUUGGUUUGUCGAUGUUAUAGCAAUUGAGAAAUCGGCUGGCCUAAUUGCAGGAGUUUUAGGGAAGCUUGCAACAAAUUCUAUGUACUUUCCUAUUGGGUUUGUGAAAUGAUCAUCCAUGCCCAAAUAUUUUAUGGACCGUAUUUUUAAUGAUAUAAUAAUGCCUCGGUUUUUCUUAAGGAUUAAUCAACAAAAGGCAAAAGCAUGGCUUAACAGUUCCCUUAACAAAAAGUGGAAGGAGUACAUGCUUAAACUAUGAAAGGAGGUUGAAGAUCCAUUAUUAAGUAAAUAAGAUAUCAUCAAGAACGCUCUGGAUGGCAUACCGAUGGACCAAUGGGCAAUGUAUGUUACUUAUAGCUUGAAAUAGGUGAUAAAGGCGCGUUGCAAGAAGAAUGCACAGAUUCAACAAAACCAAUUUCCUCAUACUUGUGGUGCCAUGAGUUUUGCUAGAAGAAGGGUUGUGAUGAAGGCAAUGGGAAAAGCUUUUGAUCGAGGGAAAAUGUGGACUGAGACUCAUAAAAGGAAAGAUGGAAGUUAUGUAACUGAUGAGGCUAGGGUGAUUGGGGAAAGAAUUGAAGAAAUUCGAAGUCAAAGAACAGAAAGUCUUGAUGAACCUUCACCAAAUGAUGCACUUUGCAUAGUAUUCGGUCCCGAGCACCCCGGCCGUGUUCGAGGUUUAGGCAUGGGUGUAGCUCCAACUGUAGCAUUCAAACAGACAUCAGCGAGAUACCGUCGUGGUUAUGUGGGUUCAUCUAGCACUACCGCUCCAACUCCACAGUGACAGCAAGAGAUAACAGAUGUGAAAUCAAAAUUAAAUGCACUAAUUAGCUUAUACGAAAGGAACAUAGGGAAUAUCCCUGAGGAGUUUGCUCACUUAUUUUCCACUCCUCCACAUGUAUAAGUUCUCUUGCUACAUUAAAAUUUUAGUUGUUUGCUUUUCUUAUGGUUCUUUUUUGACAUAAAGUGGUUUCUCUCCUUGUUUUAAUUUUUAAUAGGCUGUUAGAAAUUAAAUUUGA